UCCUAAGAAUGCAUUCACUUCAUUUAACAUUGAUAAUAUAUGUUCUCUAGCUUCAAAAUUCUAUCCUGCAGAUUUUGAAGAACAAGAAAGAAAUAAUCUGAGAUGUCAGUUACGGCAUUAUGAGAAUGAUAUACUCACAAACCCGAAGUUUCAGAAUUUGACAAUGAUAUCUGAACUUUGUCAACAGCUUACAGCAACUGGGAAAUCAGAUGAAUACCACUUGAUUGACAGAUUGAUUCGACUUGUACUUACUUUACCGGUUUCAACUGCAACGACAGAACAUGCAUUUUCUGCAAUGAAACUUGUGAAGACAAGGCUUCGGAAUAAAAUGGAAGAUGAAUUACUAAGGGAUUGCUUGGUAAUUUAUAUUGAAAAGGAGAUUGCAGUUGGAAUAUCAACAGAUGCAGUUAUAGAUGAGUUCGAUGAAUCACCACGUCGAGUGCAAUUUAGUUGAAACAAGUUAGUUCCUCUGUAUUUCUAUUUUCUAGAUUUUUCUUCUGUGUGAUGUGCAAUUCAACAGCAUCCUUUUGUUAUGGAAAAUGAAUGGUGGUAUAAUCAUUGGAGAAAUAUUUUGCUAUUA